UGCAAGUCGAGCGGUAGAGAGAAGCUUGCUUCUCUUGAGAGCGGCGGACGGGUGAGUAAUGCCUAGGAAUCUGCCUGGUAGUGGGGGAUAACGUUCGGAAACGGACGCUAAUACCGCAUACGUCCUACGGGAGAAAGCAGGGGACCUUCGGGCCUUGCGCUAUCAGAUGAGCCUAGGUCGGAUUAGCUAGUUGGUGAGGUAAUGGCUCACCAAGGCAACGAUCCGUAACUGGUCUGAGAGGAUGAUCAGUCACACUGGAACUGAGACACGGUCCAGACUCCUACGGGAGGCAGCAGUGGGGAAUAUUGGACAAUGGGCGAAAGCCUGAUCCAGCCAUGCCGCGUGUGUGAAGAAGGUCUUCGGAUUGUAAAGCACUUUAAGUUGGGAGGAAGGGCAGUUACCUAAUACGUGAUUGUUUUGACGUUACCGACAGAAUAAGCACCGGCUAACUCUGUGCCAGCAGCCGCGGUAAUACAGAGGGUGCAAGCGUUAAUCGGAAUUACUGGGCGUAAAGCGCGCGUAGGUGGUUUGUUAAGUUGGAUGUGAAAUCCCCGGGCUCAACCUGGGAACUGCAUUCAAAACUGACUGACUAGAGUAUGGUAGAGGGUGGUGGAAUUUCCUGUGUAGCGGUGAAAUGCGUAGAUAUAGGAAGGAACACCAGUGGCGAAGGCGACCACCUGGACUGAUACUGACACUGAGGUGCGAAAGCGUGGGGAGCAAACAGG
rnacentral:rRNA from 1 species